AUAUAUGAAAUUUAUUGUCAAAUUGGUUUCCAUACAACACCCAGUGCUCAUCCCAAAAGGUGCCCUCCUCAAUACCCAUCACCCACCCUCUCCUCCCUCCCACCCCCCAUCAACCCUCAGUUUGUUCUCGGUUUUUAACAGUCUCUUAUGUUUUGGCUCUCUCCCACUCUAACCUCUUUUUUUUUUUUCCUUCCCUUCCCCCAUGGGUUUCUGUUAAGUUUCUUAGGAUCCACAUAAGAGUGAAACCAUAUGGUAUCUGUCUUUCUCUGUAUGGCUUAUUUCACUUAGCAUCACACUCUCCAGUUCCAUCCACUUUGCUACAAAAGGCCAUAUUUCAUUUUUUCUCAUUGCCACGUAGUAUUCCGUUGUGUAUAUAAACCACAAUUUCUUUAUCCAUUCAUCAGUUGAUGGACAUUUAGGCUCUUUCCAUAAUUUGGCUAUUGUUGAGAGUGCUGCUAUAAACAUUGGGGUACAAGUGCCCCUAUGCAUCAGUACUCCUGUAUCCCUAUCUCCCCGCAUUAUUGACAGGAGCCUUAAUGUCACCCACCACGCACGUUCAUGCACGUGCACGCACGCAGUCAGCGAGCGCGCAAACGCGGUGCUUCGGUUUGACAUGCGCAUGUCUGUGCAGCAAGCAGGCUCCCGCUGGCAUUUCUCACCUCCGAGCGCCCGUAGGCCAGAAAGCAAAAGUUGCUUGCUGGACGUGAGACAUUGUCACUGCAAAGUCAACCGUGCAAUCCUGUGAGGAACUAACUGUCCCCCAAGUAGAGACUAGAACCAGAUCUGAGGCUGAGAAGGGUAUGAGAAGGACCCGAAAAGUGUCUUGAGCCAGCUAUAUUACUCUAGGUUCUCCUGAAAAGCAGAAUGAGUAGGAUGGAGAGAAAGAAUGAUUGAAAAAGAGAUCAAUUGAUUUUAAGAAAUUGAAUUACAUCAUUUACAGAGGCUGGCAAGUCCAAAAGCCAUGAAGCAGGCAGAAGGCUGGAAGCUCAGAAACUUUUGGAAAGAAAUGAAAAAUGACAGAUGCAGAGAAAGUUUCUUAACACCUUACUCAGUCCUAUAGCCUGAAUCACUCCUUGGACCCUCCUACCUGCCUCCUUCCCUUUUCAGAGAAAACCAAUAUAUUAUAGAUUGUGUAACCUUCCUAUUUUUGUUUUUAUAACUUUUCCCAUAUAUGUAUAGCACCAUCAAACUUAUAGGUAACAUUUUACAUUAUUUUAAUUUUGUAUGAUAUAUAUUUACAACCUAAUUUUUAAUUUACAU